rnacentral:lncRNA from 1 species
CGAAUAGGUUUAACAUACCAGAUUUGCUAUUUUUUUCCCUAAAUGCAGUACAUUUUGUCAAAAGCUGAACUAUAAACUAAUAACGUUUUAUUGUUGUUCCCUGGAUUAAAGCUAAUUCUUUGGGUCCUUAUUUGAAUGUGAACAAGUCCUUCAAGUUCUUAAAUUCAGCUCUAUUUUGUCGAGUACUGCAUUAUAAAGUGGCUGUUGCUAUUCUGCUAUUUCAAAAUACUUAACAGUUUACUCCCUCCAAAACACCUUUUGCAUUAGUGCGACAUUUUUUUCAAGUGAAUCCAAAAUUUGUCAUUAUUAGUUACUCAGUGCUCAUCUCUAUGAUAUAUCAUAGCUUAUAACAACUAACUACAUUCAACUUUAUAGGGACAGACUAUGUUGUGGGGGGUCAUUUGAAUUGCAUUGAGAUAAUGCCAGCCUACUCCAUUUUUUAAGGAGAUGCCCUUUGGUGUGAAGACUCAUACUUCCACAAAUCUGACACAAUUUUUUGCUUCUUAUGGCCUCAUCUUUCGAAGAGUCCGGAGGAACUGAAUGAAUUUCCCAUGUGUACUGCAAACAUCUUUUGCCAUUGUUUAAUUCAAUAGGUGAAAUUUUGGUGUGUGCCCCAAUUGCACAUGUCCAAUCAAAUACAUGUAUUGAUAACAUGUGUAAGUGAUAAACUUCUUAAGCAUCGUCUCUUGCCUAUUCUGGUUACAUUAGAGGAAAUAUUUGAAUUGUAGUGUUUGUAACUAUAUGACCUCUAUAUAAGUAGAUAAAUCAACAAAACUUUGAGCUAAAAUAUGGAUGUUGCUCUUACAAAAUAAAUAAAUAUUAUCAAUGGAACAUGUUGGGCCGUGCAGAGCACGGCUUUCCUUAUCUAGUUUCUAUUAUUUAGAAGCAUGAUGACGACCAACGACCAGUGGCAAAAAGGAUAAUAAAUCAAAUAUACAAGGGCAAAUUAUAACUACUAUACUAAAAUUUAUUGAUAUUCGUGCACUCAUGCUCAGAAGUCAG